AUUGAACGCUGGCGGCAGGCCUAACACAUGCAAGUCGAGCGAGCGGCGGAAGGGUGAGUAAUGUCUGGGAAACUUCCUGAUGGAGGGGGAUAACUACUGGAAACGGUAUCUAAUACCUCAUACCAUCAGAUGUGCCCAGAUGGGAUUAGCUAGUAGGUGGGGUAACGGCUAACCUAGGCGACGAUCCCUAGCUGGUCUCAGAGGAUGACCAGCCACCCUGGAACUGGGACAGUGUCCAGAGUACUCCGGUAGGCAUCAGUGGGGAAUAGUGCACCUAUGGCGCAAGCCUGAUGCAGUCAUGCCGAGUGUGUGACUAAGCCCUUCGGGUUGGAAGGCACUUUCAGCGGGGAGGCGUUACCCGAAGAAGAAUUACCGGCUAACUCCGUGCCAGCAGCCGCGGUAAUUC
rnacentral:rRNA from 1 species